rfam:Hordeum vulgare subsp. vulgare, WGS project CAJW01000000 data, contig: morex_contig_452205
UAUAUACUCCGUCCAUCCGAAAAUACUUGUCAGAGGAAUGGAAACAUCUAGAUGUAUUUUAGUUCUAGAUACAUCCAUUUUUAUAAAUUUGUGCGACAUGUAAUUUCGAACGGAGGGAGUAGUAU